GAGGCAGCAGUAGGGAAUCUUCCGCAAUGGACGACAGUCUGAUGUAGCAACACCGCGUGAAUGAUGAAGGUCUUCCGAUCGUAAAACUCUGUUGUUACGGAAGAACUAGUAUGCGAUUAACUGCUCGUACCUUGACGGUACCUAACCAGAAAGCCCCGGCUAACUACGUGCCAGCAGCCGCGGUAAUACGUAGGUGGCAAGCGUUGUCCGGAAUUAUUGGGCGUAAAGCGCGCGCAGGCGGUCCUUUAAGUCUCAUGUGAAAGCUCACGGCUCUACCGUGGAGGGUCAUUGGAAACUGCGGGACUUGAGUGCAGGAGAGAAGAGUGGAAUUCCACGUGUAGCGGUGAAAUGCGUAGAGAUGUGGAGGAACACCAGUGGCGAAGGCGACUCUCUGGCCCGUAACUGACGCUGAGGCGCGAAAGCGUGGGGAGCAAACACGAUUAGAUACCCUGGUAGUCCACGCCCUAAACGAUGAGUGCUAAGUGUUAGAGGGUCUCCRCCCUUCAGUGCCGCAGCAACGCGUAAGCAU
rnacentral:rRNA from 1 species